rnacentral:tRNA from 1 species
AAGGCUAUAGCUCAAUGGUAGAGUGCAUGCAUGCAAGAGGUCCUGGGUUCAAUCCCCAGUACCUCCA